rnacentral:lncRNA from 1 species
CCUGGGAAGUUGGUGCUGUCUGGGCAAGUAGGCAAGGGAGGAGGGAAAUGACGAGCUCCUUGUGGGGCGUGACUUGAAUGGAGACGUUAAGGAGGUGGCUGGACAUGUGAAUCUGGGUCUCAGGGGAGUGAUUUGGGGAUAAAGAUAAUAAUUUGGGUGCUUGAUGGUAAGUGAAGAUUUUGAGAGUGUACGUAAUUUCCCAGGAGAGAAUGCAAGAGUUGAGGGGAGAGUUGAAACCAGACCUUGUAGGACCCUCAGCAUUUUCAAAGUGAGAGGAGUCUGUGGAGACGAGAGAGAGACCAUCUUGAUAGAAAACUCUUUUUUUUUUUUNNNNNNNNNNNNNNNNNNNNNNCUUUAUUGAAUUUGUUACAAUAUUGCUUCUGUUUUAAAAAACAAUAUGGCUUCUGUUUUGGUUUUGGGGCUGCGAUGUGUGUAGGCUCUUAGCUCCCUGACCAGGGAUGGAACCCCCAUCGCCUGCAUCGGAAGGUGGAAUCUUAGCCACUAGACUGCCAGGGGAGUCUCAGAAGGCUCUUCCUUUGACCUGAUUAUUUGCUUGCACCUUUCAUCCUGGGUGUUACUUAUUUGCGCUGUAAUAGAAGAUACCUUCAACAACCGUGAUGUCAGUUGGAAGCUCUGAUCCCAAAGUGUUGAUUUUUGGAGAUAGUCUCCUCUAAUGACGUCUUGUACAAACAUGAUGUGGGCAGACAGUCCACAUUCCUGCCCCUUUGCUGCCAAACUGGCCUUUUCUGUCCCCAUUUCUGCAAGUUUCUGGGGAUUGCAUACGCUUUGUGGUCACACUAAUGUUGCUGCCUUAAAUUGGUUCUGGAAUUGAGUUUGAUCCAUUGACUUUCUUUUUUGCUUUGUCAUUAUAGCUGCUUUUUAAAAAGCAAAAUUACUAAAUUUUCUGAGUCAAUAGCUUCAGUUUGGCAAAGAAGAGGCAAAAUGCAGGCAGGCUCUGAAAUCUGCAUUGAGAUCACAGAAAGGUCUUUUUCCUGAUUAAAGUGUCCAGUGAAACCUCCUGUGUGACUGUAGGAAAAAGCCUAUAUGGGUAAGAGCAAGUAGAACUGAAAAAAAUAUUACUACUCUGGAUAAAAUAAAUAAGCUUCAAAGGUAUAUUGUACAGUACAGGGAAUAUAGCUACUUAUUUUACAAUAACAUUAAGUAGAGUAUAAAUCUUAUAAAAAUUUUGAAUUAUUGUGUCACGCACAAAAAUUUGUACUGCUGCUGCUGCUGCUGUUAAGUCGCUUCAGUCGUGUCCGACUCUGUGC